rnacentral:lncRNA from 10 species
UUAUUUUGCCCUGAAAGCAGAUGAUGGUGUUAAAUAAAGCAACAAAUUAAAUGUGGAUGUUAGUGCUGCAAUGGAGGAAAACUUGCAGAAAAAUUGACCUGACUUAUUUAAUCAAGUGCAGAGACAUUACUGUGCUACCUGGGGAGCUAUUCAAAUACAAUACAAUCUAUAUGCCUUCCACCUGAGCAACCAAGUUCUUACAGCGCUAACUAGAGAAGGUGCAGGGGAGGGGGGGAGGACUGGAUAAAGUUAUUUUUGUGGCAGUUAAGCUUCGAUUACUUGUAGAUCCAUAAAUCAUCAGCCAAGGUUCUCUUUUCUCCAGCAGUGAGCACAGGGAGGAGGAGGUGCAUGCAAGCGAUACUGCAGGGCCAGAAUCAGAAUCAUCAGCACGUAGCAACUGAUUGGAUUUCUGGAGCAAGAAAGAAGAGUUGAAGAUAAUGUUGAACUUUCUCAUUGGGAGAUUUUACUAACAUUAUUGAGCAAUUACUGCAUGAUGGAUGUUACGCUAAGAGCAUUCUACAAUUAUUAUACCUCUUACGUCUCCCAGUAGUUCUGUUAAGCACUGAAUACUGUGGAUACAAAGAGCCCAGAGUCAUCAAGAGGAACCAGGAACUCUAACAUGAUGUGUGGAGCAGGCUAUGCAAAGAGGGGUACCUCUCCCAGUCAGAGGCAUCAGAGAAGGCUUCCUGGUGGAGGUGAGUAGGAAUCACGUGCAAUCGUGCA